rnacentral:tRNA from 1 species
AUUAAGAGUAANCCUUUGGUCUUC